UACGUAGGGUGCGAGCGUUUGUCCGGAAUUAUUGGGCGUAAAGGGCUCGUAGGCGGUUUGUCGCGUCGGGAGUGAAAUCCACUGGCUUAACUGGUGGCUUGCUUUCGAUACGGGCAGACUGGAGGUAUGCAGGGGGAGAACGGAAUUCCUGGUGUAGGCGGUGAAAUGCGCAGAUAUCAGGAGGAACACCGGUGGCGAAGGCGGGUUCUCUGGGCAUGUCCUGACGCUGAGGAGCGAAAGUGUGGGGAGCGAACAGG
rnacentral:rRNA from 1 species